rnacentral:rRNA from 1 species
GACGUAGGAGACGAGCGUUAUUCGGAUUUACUGGGCGUAAAGCGCGUGCAGGCGGUUUGGUAAGUUGGAUGUGAAAGCUCCUGGCUCAACUGGGAGAGGUCGUUCAAAACUGCCAGACUAGAGAAUAGGAGAGGGAGGUGGAAUUCCGGGUGUAGUGGUGAAAUGCGUAGAUAUCCGGAGGAACACCAGUGGCGAAGGCGACCUCCUGGCCUAUUUCUGACGCUCAGACGCGAAAGCUAGGGUAGCAAACGGGAUUAGAAACCCUCGUAGUCC